rnacentral:rRNA from 1 species
GCAAUGCCGCGUGGGUGAAGAAGGUCUUCGGAUCGUAAAGCCCUUUCGACGGGGACGAUGAUGACGGUACCCGUAGAAGAAGCCCCGGCUAACUUCGUGCCAGCAGCCGCGGUAAUACGAAGGGGGCUAGCGUUGCUCGGAAUUACUGGGCGUAAAGGGCGCGUAGGCGGCGGCCCAAGUCAGGCGUGAAAUUCCUGGGCUCAACCUGGGGACUGCGCUUGAUACUGGGUUGCUUGAGGAUGGAAGAGGCUCGUGGAAUUCCCAGUGUAGAGGUGAAAUUCGUAGAUAUUGGGAAGAACACCGGUGGCGAAGGCGGCGAGCUGGUCCAUUACUGACGCUGAGGCGCGACAGCGUGGGGAGCAAACAGGAUUAGAUACCCUGGUAGUCCACGCCGUAAACGAUGUGCGCUGGAUGUUGGGGCCCAUAGG